GCAUAAUCAUUUGCCCCUUAAUUAGGGGCUAGCAUGAAUGGACAAACGAGAUUAUACCUGUCUCCUCUAUACCUAUAAAAAUUAAUCUACAGGUGAAGAAGCCUGUAUUUUUAUAAAAGACAAGAAGACCCUGUCGAGCUUUAAUUAUUUAUAAUAUAACGCAAUAUCUAUGCCCCCUCUUAUAAAUAAUCUUUGUUGGGGCGACAAUGGAGCAUAAAAACCCUCCACUACAAUCUAGACACCGAGUCACCCAAAAAAUCCCCAAAAGGAACCUGGAACUAGCUACCGCAGGGAUAACAGACUAAUCUUCCUCAAGAGCCCAAAUCUACAGGAAGGCUUGG
rnacentral:rRNA from 1 species